CCUACGGGCGGCAGCAGUGAGGAAUAUUGGUCAAUGGGCUUACGCCUGAACCAGCCAAGUCGCGUGAGGGAAGACUGUCCUAUGGGUUGUAAACCUCUUUUGUCAGGGAGCAACGUCGGCUUCGUGUACCCGGACUGAGAGUCCCUGAAGAAAAAGCAUCGGCUACCUCCGUGCCAGCAGCCGCGGUAAUACGGAGGAUGCGAGCGUUAUCCGGAUUUAUUGGGUUUAAAGGGUGCGUAGGCGGAAUGCCAAGUCAGCGGUAAAAUCGCGGGGCUCAACCUCGCUCAGCCGUUGAAACUGGCGGUCUUGAGUGGGCGAGAGGUAUGCGGAAUGCGUGGUGUAGCGGUGAAAUGCAUAGAUAUCGCGCAGAACUCCGAUUGCGAAGGCAGCAUACCGGCGCCCAACUGACGCUGAGGCACGAAAGCGUGGGUAUCGAACAGGAUUAGAUACCCUUGUAGUC
rnacentral:rRNA from 1 species